UACGGAGGGAGCUAGCGUUAUUCGGAAUUACUGGGCGUAAAGCGCACGUAGGCGGCUUUGUAAGUUAGAGGUGAAAGCCUGGAGCUCAACUCCAGAACUGCCUUUAAGACUGCAUCGCUUGAAUCCAGGAGAGGUGAGUGGAAUUCCGAGUGUAGAGGUGAAAUUCGUAGAUAUUCGGAAGAACACCAGUGGCGAAGGCGGCUCACUGGCC
rnacentral:rRNA from 1 species